CGCUCUUUGAAAACACUUCUAAUUAAUCAAAAAUCAUACAUAAAGAGUCGGACCUGCCCAGUGACUAUAUUGUUAAACGGCCGCGGUACUCUGACCGUGCAAAGGUAGCAUAAUCAUUUGCCUUUUAAUUGGAGGCUUGUAUGAAUGGUUUGACGAAAACUAAGCUGUCUCUUCUUAAAUAUAUAAAAAUUAAUUUUUAGGUGAAGAAGCCUAAUAUUUAACUGAGGGACAAGAAGACCCCGUUGAGCUUUAGUGAUUUAGUAAAAUAAAAUACUUAAAGUGAUUUUAGUAAACUAAUUUAUAUCCUUAUUAAUAAAUAACAUUAAAAUGUAAAUAUUAUUUACUAAAAAUCUUUAGUUGGGGCGACUGAGGAGCAUAAAAAGCUUCCUUUAAAUAAAACAUCUAAUGGAAAUCAAACCAGUAUAAUGAUCCGGUACUUACUGAUUAAAGGAAAAAGUUACCACGGGGAUAACAGCGUAAUUUUUCCAGAGAGUUCUUAUCGAAGGAAGAGUUUGCGACCUCGAUGUUGGACUAAGAUAUCCUAGGGGUGUAGCAGCUUCUAAUGGUUAGUCUGUUCGACUAUUAAAAUCUU
rnacentral:rRNA from 1 species